rnacentral:rRNA from 1 species
GACGAACGCUGGCGGCGUGCUUAACACAUGCAAGUCGAACGGUAAGGCCCUUCGGGGUACACGAGUGGCGAACGGGUGAGUAACACGUGGGUGAUCUGCCCUGCACUUCGGGAUAAGCCUGGGAAACUGGGUCUAAUACCGGAUAGGACCCUGGGAUGCAUGUCCUGGGGUGGAAAGCUUUUGCGGUGUGGGGAUGGGCCCGCGGCCUAUCAGCCUGUUGGUGGGGGGAUGGCCUACCAAGGCGACGACGGGUAGCCGGCCUGAGAGGGUGACCGGCCACAGUGGGACUGAGAUACGGCCCAGGCGCCUACGGGAGGCAGCAGUGGGGAAUAUUGCACAAUGGGCGCAAGCCUGAUGCAGCGACGCCGCGUGAGGGAUGACGGCCUUCGGGUUGUAAACCUCUUUCAGCACCGACGAAGCGCAAGUGACGGUAGGUGCAGAAGAAGGACCGGCCAACUACGUGCCAGCCGCCGCAGUAA